rnacentral:lncRNA from 1 species
CAAGUCUGAUUUCAGAUUGGAAGCUAAAAGGCUCAAGUCCUUUUCUGUUUCCUUUUCUAACUCCCCCUAACCAGGUUGCAGAAGCCCUACAAGCUUUCACUAAAAGAUUACACUGCCAGGGGUUGACGAUUUGAUGUGCUGGUGGUCAUUUUUUCCAUUGGAGAUCCGCAAACUCUGAAACUUAAACGAUUUAACUACAAACACACAGCAAAUGAUGAAAAGAUAGCGGUCACCUCAGCUGAAAUUUGGUGGAAGUAAAAAGUACUUCUCUGGGUCUUCUGAGGAAGCUUCUGGUGUGAGAUGCAAACACUCUGAACUCCAGGGACCAAGCUCUAUUUCAUGCCAAGGUUACUCAACACCCAGAAGGCAGAACAGCGACCUCUCUCUCUCCAUCUGCAGAAGCCAAGCAAGCGUGUGGGCCUCCGUAUGCAUCCUUUCUUUUAUUCACUUUCUAAAUGCUGUAACGGCUACCAUCUACCAGGUGGUCACAAACCAUCUCUAAAGUCAAUCUGAGGUUAACCCACUCGACUUGUGAGGGAUCCACCUAUACUGCUUCUGCACCUGUAAUAUGACUAAGGAGACGGUGGCUGCACACGUAGUUAACACCGAUUGUACUGUGACUCCGCCUUUCCGCAGCAGCUCUCCGGCUCUUUAGAGUCCUUUUGAGCCAAGCUGGACGUGAGGCAUAAAGGAGCUCUUUGCAAACGCCAGGAGGAAUUUCUUCAGGGUGAAGUUAACUUUCAAUCGGCUUCAUUCUAAGAGAAAUAUGUGAAGCAAACAAACGGGAACUUUUUUUCUCAUCUUUUGCAUUUCAAGCAAAAACUAAUAAAAUUAGAUGUUUCCACCGUCAUGCUCAGUCUCGAAGCUGCCAGCAGAUCCCGCUUCUAACUUUUAACACAGGCACGCAGGAAAUCGGGAAAUCCCUGCAGUUCCCUCAGAAGCUACAGUAUCAGCAGUUCCUGAAGCGCAAACCAAAACCCAACAUCAUGUACCCCUCCAAAGAGCUCAGCCGGUCUGUUGAGGGACGGAAACAGCGGCGAGGUGCUCUGGAAGCCGUGACAGCCUGGCCGAAAUGAACCAGGUCCCUCCUGGUCGAGCCUACCUCCCUAGGGACAAGAAACGUACCUCUCUUCCCUCAUAUCCAGAGGAAGCAAUGGAGGGAUGUGGCGCUUAGACUCACUCUACUAUCCAGUCCAUCGAAGUCCUAAUAAUCUUCAGGAUGCGACAGAGUGAGACUCCGUCUCAACAAAACAAAACAAAACAACCCUAAGGAAAAGAGAGAAUGUACUGGAGGAUAGGAAGUAUCUAGGAGAACCUUCUUUUUUUUUUUUCUUAUAUUUAAAUUUAAGCCUUCAUUUAUAUAAAAUAAAACGCAUGAAA